rnacentral:sRNA from 1 species
AUAUUAAUUAGAAUUUAAUUGAGCAAUUUCGAGAAUAUUAUUUAAGUUAGGUAAGAAUUUUUUUGUACUAAUUUAUCUGUUUUUAUUUUUACGAGAAAUUAAAGAUAAAGAAAAAUUUAUAAAUUCUUUACUGUCGUUCUUUAACUCUUUUGAAAUCGUUGAUUAUUCGGUUGGAGAAAAUAUCAUAUUUUUUAUUUUCUUUUUCGAAAUUUUGUUUUAAAAAAUUAUGACAGCUAAUUACACGGCAUGUAAAAAAGUAAAAU